rnacentral:misc_RNA from 1 species
GGAAGUAAAAGCGUAACAAGGUUUCCGUAGGUGAACCUGCGGAAGGAUCAUUAAUGAGUUGUCAUGGGGUUCGAUGCUGGCAGCCAGUUUUUGGAUGCAUGUGCUUGCCCUAACAAUCAUCUUCUUCCAAACACCUGUGCACAUUUUUGAGGGAGUCUUGAGUUGGUUGCCGCUCUUGGGUGAUUUUCUCACAUUCCCUUAAAUCAUUAUACGCUAUUAACAAUGUUGAACGUGCUCUGUGCCGCAAGGCCAUUAAUAUAAUACAACUUUUAACAACGGAUCUCUUGGCUCUC